rnacentral:rRNA from 1 species
UACGGAGGGUGCAAGCGUUGUUCGGAAUUACUGGGCGUAAAGCGCGUGUAGGCGGUCCUGCAAGUCAGACGUGAAAGCCCUCGGCUUAACCGGGGAAGUGCGUCUGAAACGGCAGGACUUGAGUACGGGAGAGGGAGGCGGAAUUCCCAGUGUAGAGGUGAAAUUCGUAGAUAUUGGGAGGAACACCGGUGGCGAAAGCGGCCUCCUGGACCGAUACUGACGCUGAGACGCGAAAGCGUGGGGAGCAAACAGG